rnacentral:rRNA from 1 species
UGCAUAUCAAUAAGCGGAGGAAAAGAAACUAACUAGGAUUCCCUUAGUAACGGCGAGUGAACCGGGAUGAGCUCAAAUUUAAAAUCUGGCGUCUUUCAGGCGUCCGAGUUGUAAUCUAUAGAGGCGUUUUCCGCGCCGGACCGCGUCCAAGUCUCUUGGAAUAGAGUAUCAAAGAGGGUGACAAUCCCGUACUUGACGCGACAACCGGUGCUCUGUGAUACGUUCUCAAUGAGUCGAGUUGUUUGGGAAUGCAGCUCUAAAUGGGUGGUAAAUUCCAUCUAAGGCUAAAUAUUGGCGAGAGACCGAUAGCGAACAAGUACCGUGAGGGAAAGAUGAAAAGCACUUUGGAAAGAGAGUUAAACAGCACGUGAAAUUGUUAAAAGGGAAACGAUUGAAGUCAGUCGUGUGAAAGGUAUUCAGCCGUCUCUGGCGGUGUAUUUGCCUUUCACGGGUCAACAUCAGUUUGAUCCGGUAGAAAAAGGCGGGAGGAAGGUGGCACCCUCGGGUGUGUUAUAGCCUCCUGUCAUAUGUGCCGGACCAGACUGAGGAACGCAGCUUGCCGCAAGGCCGGGGUUCGCCCACGUACAAGCUUAGGAUGUUGACAUAAUGGCUUUAAACGACCCGUCUUGAAACACGGGACCA